CCUACGGGUUGCAGCAGUGGGGAAUAUUGCACAAUGGGCGCAAGCCUGAUGCAGCCAUGCCGCGUGUAUGAAGAAGGCCUUCGGGUUGUAAAGUACUUUCAGCGGGGAGGAAGGCGAUAAGGUUAAUAACCUUGUCGAUUGACGUUACCCGCAGAAGAAGCACCGGCUAACUCCGUGCCAGCAGCCGCGGUAAUACGGAGGGUGCAAGCGUUAAUCGGAAUUACUGGGCGUAAAGCGCACGCAGGCGGUUUGUUAAGUCAGAUGUGAAAUCCCCGGGCUCAACCUGGGAACUGCAUCUGAUACUGGCAAGCUUGAGUCUCGUAGAGGGGGGUAGAAUUCCAGGUGUAGCGGUGAAAUGCGUAGAGAUCUGGAGGAAUACCGGUGGCGAAGGCGGCCCCCUGGACGAAGACUGACGCUCAGGUGCGAAAGCGUGGGGAGCAAACAGGAUUAGAUACCCGGGUAGUC
rnacentral:rRNA from 1 species